rnacentral:tRNA from 1 species
UGGAUCAUAGUUAAAUAUAACAUCUAAAUUGCUAUUAGAAAGCAUCACUUGAUUGAUCUAA